GACGUAGGGGGCAAGCGUUGUCCGGAAUCAUUGGGCGUAAAGCGCUCGUAGGUGGAUCGGUAAGUCUGCAAAGAAAGACCCGGGCUCAACUCGGGGAACGGUGUGGAUACUACCGAUCUUGAGGCAAUCAGAGGAUGAUGGAAUUCCCGGUGUAGCGGUGAAAUGCGUAGAUAUCAGGAGGAACACCGGUGGCGAAGGCGGGUCUCUGGGCAGUAACUGACGCUGAGGAGCGAAAGCGUGGGGAGCGAACAGG
rnacentral:rRNA from 1 species